GCAAUGGACGAAAGUCUGGCCGAGCAACGCCGCGUGAGUGAAGAAGGUUUUCGGAUCGUAAAGCUCUGUUGUAAGUCAAGAACGUGUGUGAGAGUGGAAAGUUCACACAGUGACGGUAGCUUACCAGAAAGGGACGGCUAACUACGUGCCAGCAGCCGCGGUAAUACGUAGGUCCCGAGCGUUGUCCGGAUUUAUUGGGCGUAAAGGGAGCGCAGGCGGUCAGGAAAGUCUGGAGUAAAAGGCUAUGGCUCAACCAUAGUGUGCUCUGGAAACUGUCUGACUUGAGUGCAGAAGGGGAGAGUGGAAUUCCAUGUGUAGCGGUGAAAUGCGUAGAUAUAUGGAGGAACACCAGUGGCGAAAGCGGCUCUCUGGUCUGUCACUGACGCUGAGGCUCGAAAGCGUGGGUAGCGAACAGGAUUAGAUACCCUGGUAGUCCACGCCGUAAACGAUGAGUGCUAGGUGUUAGGCCCUUUCCGGGGCUUAGUGCCCGAGCUAACGCAAUAAGCACUCCGCCUGGGGAGUACGACCGCAAGGUGAAACUCAAAGGAAUUGACGGGGGCCCGCACAAGCGGUGGAGCAUGUGGUUUAAUU
rnacentral:rRNA from 1 species